GUGAAUAUUCUUUUGUAUUAACUCUUGAAUAUGUUCUUUAGUAUUACUGGAUGAAAGAAUAAACAUUUUGAAGCUUUUGAUAUAAAUUGGGAACUUGCCUUACAGGCAGACUAGCAGUGUGUAAAGAUGCCUAUUUCCCCACAUCCUAGUCAAUGUAUAUGUGUAUAUAUAUAUAUAUAUAUGUAUAUACCAGUUGUCAUUCAUUCUACUUUUGUUCCACAAUGUUUUUGUAUUAACUCUUUGGGUAGCUUUACAUAUUAAGGUUAUGAAUCCUUUGUCGUAUAUGUUUUUCUAUGUUUUAAUUUGCCCAGCUUUACUGAGGUAGAAUUGACUAUUAAAAUUGUAUAUAUUUAAGGAGUACCUCUUGAUGAUUAUGUAUAUAUGUAUAAUAUAUAGUGAAAUAGUCACGAAAAUCCAAUAUAUGCCUUUAACUUGUGUUUAUAAUGCUUUUAAAAAUGGUGUAUGUGUUUCUAAUUCAUAGGUAGUAACGCUUUAUUUGUCUAGCAUUGUCUAAGAAUGAAGAAUUCUAUCUGAAUAAAGUCUCUGG
rnacentral:lncRNA from 10 species